rnacentral:pre_miRNA from 1 species
ACAUCUUCUAGGGACGAUGUAGUCUGAAUCUGGGUCACCGGGAUCUGGUGACCCAGAUUCAGACUACACCUUCCCUAGAAUGUAA